rnacentral:lncRNA from 1 species
AAGAAUGAAGACGAAGAAUUGGGAUCCACUGCGGUGACCGACGAUGUAGAGGAGGAUCUAAAGCUCGCGAUCAAGGACCACGAGGCCAGGUUUCUGCUUCUUUUUUGCCUAUGCUUUUGUGGAUAUCAUGUAGAGAAUACAAAGACUGUGUUCUCAUCAUCAGAACUGACUAAUCAGUCGACGAAAAAUUAAAAACUGAAAUGGAGUCGACCCUGAAGGUUCAUUUUCAACUCUCAAAUUUCUACUUUUUUAAUUUCUAUCCGUUUGUUUUUCUUUAAGACUUUUAACGAUUUGAUUAUUUUUCAGUACAGGAAUGCUAGAUUUUCGAAAUUUUGCCCCUACCAAAAAGAAAUUGAGAAAAUUUUAGAUGGUAAAGAUUGCUUAGUGAUUACAUCCAUUGGCAAUGGUAAGUUGUUGUGGUAAGCUUCAAUUUAUUACUGUGUUUUGCAUUAUAAUCUUAAUACAGUUAUUUGUUUGAAGAAAAUACACUUCUAAUCAACCAUUUUCUUUUAGACGAAGGUAGUUGCGGUCAAGGAAAAGAUCUAGCUACCUUCUAUUUGGCCGCGAAAAGCCUGUGCAGAAGGUCCUAGGUAGAUGAAAACGUACGGAUGUAUAUCUAUCUAUCGAUUAAUUUUGCACAUCUAUUACAUAUUUAUGUAGGAUCUUGGCGUUUUGAUUGGAAAAUGACUAAUUUUUUUAUGUGUGUUUAUGUUACUGGUGCAAUUGUAGUUGUGUGAGAUUUUGACUAAAGAUCUAUUUAAGGUUGAUCCAACUUAAUUGCUACUGUUUCGUUGCAAUGUGAAAAUAGAAUCGCUAUUCUGGAAUCGUUUAUAGCUUUUUACUGCUGAUAAUUUAUUUAUUUUACCCUUUUUAUUUUGAAUUCUUACCAUACUUCUGACACUUGAACCUUUGACAUUCACAAAAAUGCAGUAAGGGGUACAAAUAAACAAGGGCAUAUAUUCAAAUGUGAAAUUAUGAAUUACACUCUAAUUCUUGCAUUUUUCGAGGAAUCAAGUAGAGACAUCAACAAUUCUAGAUACCUAUCUAAUUUAAAAUCAGAGUUAUGAGUUCACUCUCCUUUCCAUGGAUACUUGUACAUCUUUCCACUUGAAUUAUCUUACUGAUUU